rnacentral:rRNA from 1 species
UACGUAGGUGGCAAGCGUUGUCCGGAUUUACUGGGCGUAAAGAGCGCGCAGGCGGUCGAUUUAGUCGCGUGUGAAAGCCCCCGGCUCAACUGGGGAGGGUCACGCGAUACUGCUCGACUUGAAGGCAGGAGAGGGAAGUGGAAUUCCCGGUGUAGUGGUGAAAUGCGUAGAUAUCGGGAGGAACACCAGUGGCGAAGGCGACUUCCUGGCCUGUUCUUGACGCUGAGGCGCGAAAGCUAGGGUAGCAAACGGG